rnacentral:rRNA from 1 species
GGGAAGGCCCAGACAGCCAGGAUGUUGGCUUAGAAGCAGCCAUCAUUUAAAGAAAGCGUAAUAGCUCACUGGUCGAGUCGGCCUGCGCGGAAGAUGUAACGGGGCUAAACCAUGCACCGAAGCUGCGGCAGCGACACUAUGUGUUGUUGGGUAGGGGAGCGUUCUGUAAGCCUGUGAAGGUGUACUGUGAGGUAUGCUGGAGGUAUCAGAAGUGCGAAUGCUGACAUAAGUAACGAUAAAGCGGGUGAAAAGCCCGCUCGCCGGAAGACCAAGGGUUCCUGUCCAACGUUAAUCGGGGCAGGGUGAGUCGACCCCUAAGGCGAGGCCGAAAGGCGUAGUCGAUGGGAAA